GUUUAUAAAUAUGCCUACCAGCCACGAACCCCCUUCUCCUUCCUCUCUGGUUUUUCCUCUGGUUCUCCGUGCCGUCCGCCUCUCUCCGCCGAAAACCCCCAUUUUCUUCCCAAAAAUUUCGAUUUUAAGCCCAAAAAUCUCCAAAAGUGAUGGGGUUUCUCUCUAUUUGUUAAAGGUUGGGUGCGGUUUUUAUUGAACUACAGAGAAAGAUUGCAAGGAAUUGAAGGUGUUGAUAUGGCUGAUGUUAUUGCUCGAUCUCACGGGGGUGAUGGUGGAGGAUGCGGUCCUCCAUGUGGACCGUCAGAUAUCCC